rnacentral:rRNA from 1 species
UACGUAGGGCGCAAGCGUUAUCCGGAAUUAUUGGGCGUAAAGAGCUCGUAGGCGGUUUGUCGCGUCUGCUGUGAAAACCGGAGGCUCAACCUCCGGCCUGCAGUGGGUACGGGCAAACUAGAGUGCGGUAGGGGAGAUUGGAAUUCCUGGUGUAGCGGUGGAAUGCGCAGAUAUCAGGAGGAACACCGAUGGCGAAGGCAGAUCUCUGGGCCGUGAACUGACGCUGAGGAGCGAAAGCGUGGGGAGCGAACAGG